UGGUAAGCAGAACUGGCGAUG
rnacentral:ncRNA from 2 species